GGGCCGGUGACGGACUUUCCGCCCGGCAUCAGGAUCGGCUUUCCGCGCAAGGGCCAGUUAAAAUUCUUCGGCGACACUGUCUCGGAGAAAAGUUACGACGCCGCCGUGGCGCGGCUGAUCGCGCNNNNNNNNNNNNAAUUCGACCUCGCGCCGUUCUAUGAGACCGCGCAACUGCUCUAUGAAGGCCCGUGGGUGGCGGAGCGCUAUCUGGUGAUCCGCGACCUGCUCGCGAAAGAUCCGG
rnacentral:misc_RNA from 1 species